rnacentral:rRNA from 1 species
UACGUAGGGUGCGAGCGUUUGUCCGGAAUUAUUGGGCGUAAAGAGCUCGUAGGCGGUUUGUUGCGUCGACUGUGAAAACCUGGGGCUUAACUCUGGGCUUGCAGUCGAUACGGGCAGACUUGAGUUCGGUAGGGAGGAGUGGAAUUCCACGUGUAGCAGUGAAAUGCGUAGAUAUGUGGAGGAACACCGAUGGCGAAGGCAGCCCCCUGGGUCAAGACUGACGCUCAUGCACGAAAGCGUGGGGAGCAAACAGG